UCUUUUUAACUUGUUCACACUUUCCUCUUUCACUUCACUUCUCUCUUUUAGCUUUCCUCUUUCACUAUUUCGAUACAUAUCAUUUGUGAUGAACCAAAGAGAGCUGAAGAACCAACGUGAAGAGAGCUGAAGUACAUCUUCUCUUUUCCGAUAAAUAUUUGUGAGAAAAAUAGGUUAAAGAGUUGAAGUCGAUCAAUAACUGAGCUGAAGAGUUGAAGUCAUACUAAUAGCUCAAGUCGUUUUCUCCAAUAACGAUUUCUUGAAGACUAAUUUCUCAUGAAGAACACAAUUUCAAACAGAUUUUGUUGGUGUAGGUUUUAUCAGCCACAACGAUAAAGGAUGUGAAUUGCCGAGUGGUGAUCAUUUGUCUACGGCAAUUGGCAGAUUGUCUGGGAAAGAAGGAAAGACAAAAUUUGCUAUUGAGAAUGCGAUAAAGACUAAGAUAGUAAUUGCAGAUUGUAAGAUACAUAUAUUUGGAUCAUUUUGAACAAUAAGAUUUCUAGAGAUUCACUUUGUAGUCUCAUUAUGGGGUCUCCUGCUGAUUUUUGAUGAACAAAAGAGAUAAUGAACCAAGGUGAAGAGAGGUGAAGACAGCUGAAGAAUCAAUUAUCUUUUCCUAUACACGCUAAAAGAGUUGAAGUCAUCGAAGAACUGAGCUAAAGAGGUGAAGAUUUGAAGUCAUCGAAGAAUUGUAGCUCAAGUCGUCUUCUCCAAUAACAAUUUCUUGAAAAAUAAUUCUGCUCGGAAUCCUCAUCCGUCGUUAGUGUUCAAGUUUCACAGUGAAGAUUGUUUUCGUGCUCGUCCCAUUCCAGUUCACUGCCUGAAGAAAGGUUGAGGGAACAAACUAAGAUGUCAAUAUUACGGGUUCAUGUGCCAUAGUUUACUGCCGGUUUGAUUACAUGGAUUGUGUUUUUUAUUGAUCAUAUUGAUCAUUUCAUUGGCUAUUUCGAGAGUCUAUUUCGAUGAGUAAAUGCCGGUAAUUGAAUUUGAAUUUUGCCUAGAAGUAAACUCAAUCUACUUUAGUGAAUGAUGAAGAGUUUUUGUACUAUUGUCAUAUAUGUUUGAAUGCCGUAUAUUUUUUUUGGAAUUUAUAUAUAUUAAAGACCUUUAAGCAAUCACUUUCUAUGU